rnacentral:rRNA from 1 species
GGGUGCGAUCAUACCAGCGUUAAUGCACCGGAU